GACGGAGGGGGCGAGCGUUGUUCGGAAUGACUGGGCGUAAAGCGCACGUAGGCGGCGUCAUAAGAGCUAUGUGAAAGCCCCUGGCUCAACUGGGGAAGGGCGUAGCAGACUGUGGGGCUCGAAUGUCGGAGGGGAGAGCGGAAUUUCUGGUGGAGCGGUGAAAUGCGUAGAGAUCAGGAAGAACGUCGGUGGCGAAGGCGGCUCUCUGGACGAACAUUGACGCUGAGGUGCGACAGCGUGGGGAGCGAACGGGAUUAGAUACCCCGGUAGUCCACGCCGUAAACGAUGGACACUAGGUGUGGGGCAGAGGAUCUGGUCCGUGCCGGAGCUAACGCAGUAAGUGUCCCGCCUGGGGAGUACGGUCGCAAGGCUGAA
rnacentral:rRNA from 1 species